AUUUAAGUUAUAUACUAUCUAAUUAAUUUAAGAACAUCCUUUGUAAUUUCUUUCGUUAGAAACUAUGCAGUAAUUUUAUUGCAGAGUAUAGAAAAGAUGUGGUUAAGAUCAUCGUGUUUAAGUGGUAGAGGAAUCUACAAGUUAAAUCUUACCUUCCCACGUAUUUCCAAGAAAGUAGUAUCUGAUUUAGUUGCCAGCAAUCUACGCAACUGCUUUUUUGCACUCCAAUCGCAUCAUCUAUGGAGAGAAGUACAACGUGUAAUGGUAUAAUGAGGAAAUUAAAAAAAAAAUCAAACACUAAUAAUAGAUUAUCCUAAAAACAAAUGAUUUUGAUAGACAUUAACAUAAUAAUGUCAGAAAAGGAAUUAGAACAGAAUUGGCUAUAAUACACAAUCUACAUAUGCAUGCUUGACGAUUAGAACACACUACCACACAAAAGUUUGGAUAUCAUUAACUUGUAAGAAGCUAGGCAAGAGGCUCACUUCUUUAAAUAAUAUACCCAUGAUCUUAAAUUUUUGGUCUCAAAUGACAUGACAUUGAAUAUUUUAAUGAUAAUUUAUGGCAUAACCAAUCACAUGAGAUUUAUCUAACCAAUCUGAGACCCUAGCAUCACCCCAUUUAAAGUAGGAAGAAAUAUCCUAAAUGUUGUCUUUGCACUUUUUACAAUGAAAAUCAUGCUCAUCUUUUAUUUGAAUGUGAUUAUUCUCGCUUGUGCCUACCAACUAGCAUGCUUUGCUUAUUUGGGUUAUUAGCAAUUCAGCAAAAGGAGUUCACAAGCUUAUUUUGAAAUUAUUUGUUGCAACGACAGUUUACUCCAUUUGGGCUCCGAGAUCCUCUCUUCUAUUAUUCUUUAUAGAGUCAAAUGCAGAUUAGUUUCAAAAAAGCUAAGCUUGUUGAUAAUUCUCUUGUUUGGGAUGUAUAGUAUGCUCUUGAUUUCUAGUUGACAUCUCAUAUGAGCUGCAUAUGAGGCUCCCACUAUUUUGAUCUGGGGUGUGCCCUUUGCUAUUGUAAAUAUUUUUUUUAAUACAGUCCUAAAUUUAGCAACAAAAAAAAAUUAUGUAUGUAGCAUUAAGGUCAUGCUAUAUAUUGAGACUAUUUCUCAUCACAAGAACAGAACAUGCCAAAAUGAAGAGUUUUUACUGAGCAGAUGGAAUUUUCAAAAUAGUCAUAUUCAUGUAAGCCAUUCCAUACUAAAGAAACUGAUUCAGACCCUAGGGAACUGUCAAUGGAUGCUAAUAACUUAUUGCAUAUUUCUCUUGAAAAAAGGCUACCCUUUUCUCAUUCUUAAUGUAGUUAUAGAAUGGUUGUGCUAGAGCUAGUAUUUAGACUCUAGAACAAAGCCCAACCAGUAGAUAUGAUCUGUCCAUAAAUUUGAAUGUUCAAACAAUAAUCUUUCUUUGGAAGGUAGAAUGUGAAACAAAAGCAAGACAAGACAAGAUGGUCUAGAAUGACUCUACAGAUACAGAUAUAGUACAAGUUUUGUGCAACAGAAAGCCAGAUAUAGAUAUAGGUGUAUCUUGCAGAAAAUCAUUGUCAUCGAGUAUUUCAGUUGACAAUAUAUCCUUACCACUCAACAACUAGGCAAAUUCUCAAACGUCAAAUGCAGUCUAUUGGAAAAAAAAUUAAAGCUCGAUGAAAAUGAAAACUUCAAAGCAAAAACUAGCACCCAACAAAAAAAAAAAUCAAAGCAAAACAAAAUAGAAUUGAAAAGAAGACCAUCAAAGAAGUUACAAGUUUGCGACGCUGAGUUUGAGAUGGGACAUAGAUUAAAUUAAUAUCAAUAAACACCAAACUCCAUCCACAUCACAUUCUAUAAAAUUAAUAAUUCCAUGAAGAGUUAGAGAGGGUAACACACCAAACACCGGACAUGUCAUUAUAACAGACAUUUUAAGCAAACUGCAUAAUGUCUCUAUUCGGGUCAAAGAAUUAUUAGAAAAAUGCAGCACUUGCAUUGCAACAACUGAAAGAUGUCCAUUUUUUAAAACCUCGCGACAGCAAUUAACCACAAUAUAAGUAAUUAAUCAAUAACUUAACAAGCACUUAAGAAUACCUCAUUAAUUAAUGCUCAUAUGAUGUCAUAUCUUUCAAGAUUGAAUUCAUAGAAUGAGCUAAAAUGAUAUUAUGUUAAGCUUAUUAUAAUAAUAAUCAAACAGAGUGGAAGUCCUAAAAAAUGAGUAACACCCCUAAACGAACACAUACACAAACAAACGAACAAUUAUAGGACAAAAGUAGUUCAUAUAAUUGCUAUCCAGUAGGAAAGUUACCUCCAACUCUUUCCUUCAACACUUACUUUUUCAACAGAUACACGGCAGUUUAAUGUACUAAUGUCCAACAAUGAUCUUUAUACACCAUAUUAGAUGGACAUCAUGAAUUUCUAGUUGAUUUCAAUGAAGAACAACACAAGAACAGCUCAAAGUUAUCAGGCGGGAAUUCACGAUAUUUGCAGUAAAUGUAGACUUCCUAAUAAUCCUCCUACUGGUAAAUUGCAGAAUCAUGUUGAUGGUUAAUGCUGAUCUGUUUAUAUUUUCA
rnacentral:lncRNA from 1 species